GGGCAUGGCGCAUGCUUACACAUGCAAGUCGAACGGCAGCAUGAUCUAGCUUGCUAGAUUGAUGGCGAGUGGCGAACGGGUGAGUAAUACAUCGGAACGUGCCCUGUAGUGGGGGAUAACUAGUCGAAAGAUUAGCUAAUACCGCAUACGACCUGAGGGUGAAAGUGGGGGACCGCAAGGCCUCAUGCUAUAGGAGCGGCCGAUGUCUGAUUAGCUAGUUGGUGGGGUAAAGGCCCACCAAGGCGACGAUCAGUAGCUGGUCUGAGAGGACGAUCAGCCACACUGGGACUGAGACACGGCCCAGACUCCUACGGGAGGCAGCAGUGGGGAAUUUUGGACAAUGGGCGAAAGCCUGAUCCAGCAAUGCCGCGUGUGUGAAGAAGGCCUUCGGGUUGUAAAGCACUUUUGUCCGGAAAGAAAUGGCUCUGGUUAAUACCUGGGGUCGAUGAC
rnacentral:rRNA from 1 species